UACCUUUUACCGAUAACAUAUCAAUAACACAAGAAUAAAAUAUAAAUACUGUCUGUCGCGACAACAAAAAAAAACCGUCAACACUGAAUCCGGACCUGUUAAAGUUGGUUUUCCCAUAUUUGAUGGGGGUAUUGUUUGCAUCAGAAACAGUGAAGUUGCAGCCAGCUCAAAACCCAAAACAAAACACAACAGGAAGAAAGCAUCAAUCUAACUAAAAAUCCCUGAUGUCUCCACUACUUUUGGCUUUACUUAGCUUGGUCGAACCUCCCUAUUAUGGUUUGUCACUUCACAUGGCUGCAUCCUGUUUUUAUCCAGCUUAGUACCAAGUUGCUGCUGUUCUUCAAACAUCAUUCAUCCUGCCAGCAGCAACAGAUGAACAUAGGAAAACAUAUGCACAAACAACUUGUAUGGAUGAGAGUUCUUGCCGGAAUUCAGAGUUCUCGAGACACACCUCCACCAUCGAUCUACCAACGGUUGAGAUCAGCCUCAUACACUUUUAGAGGAGCAACAACUCCACACUCGGCACGGCGCACUAGCCUUGAAUUUACGAUGACUAAAUCCAUGUUCGUCUGAGACUGUGUCACCUGACAGAUCAGUCAUAUCAGUACUCCGACCCAAAAGCCUAACAAACACUAUUGUUCACUCCAGAGACUCAAUCGAACGGUCCAGAACAAUCGACAUGCAGAAAAUUGCUCCACAAGCUCUAGGCAUUUCAUUAUUACAGAAGAAAAAUGCAAAUCAAAGUCUUCCCUUUUAAUGCAAAACAAGACCUCAGCACCCUUUUGGACCACAUCCCAGAAUUUCAUUGUGUUCCAUCUUUUUUUCCUUAAAGAAACCAAACCGUGCGAGGCAGAUCAUUCAUCACCAAUCAGACCUUUUGUUUCUCUGCCUUUAUUCCCUUUUGCUGAGCUUGACAUGACUGAUGACUCAACUCCACUGAUCUUCAUAAUGCUUAAGCCCCUGGACUUCCUCCUUGAACAUGUAUAUAUAGGCUCUGCCUUUGAAUUCAUUUCAGCACAAACAAACCAAUUCACUCAUAUAAGUGAAGUCUCGAAACUAUGAAGAACUCAUUUCAGAUCACUAUGACGGAAGGCAAUCUGCAAAAAAGUGGCAUUUGGCUACUGGAAUUCAAGAUCGAGUUUCCUCUUUAGAUGAGUUCUGUCGGCACUGCACAACAAAUACAAAAUACCUUCAUCAGCAUUCAAUGUACAAAAAGGACCUUACUAAUGUGCCGCCUUUUCAGACAUAAUCACCUGCUCAAAACUCAAAUUUGGCAUCUAUCUUAAAUCAACCUACCUACAACUCAAAAGAUUGAACAAUAAAAGAUAGCAUAAUACCAUUAUAACUAUCCAGGUAACUGUUCUACCUGUUAAUCGUUGGUCUGCUCACAGGCCUGGUUCCAAAGACUGAAAGAUCUACCGACAUUGGCAAGUCGUUAUUCCUGCCCAAAGUAUCGCCAGUUGUCUGCCUGAUUUCCUCAUGUUCAUCAAUCUUAUCAAGAUGGUUAGCAUUUACAUCAAAGCUUUCGCGUUCAGCCAUCACUCUUCUUGUUUUCCUUGGAGGUGAUAACACAGUUGGACCAUCCUGGGAAUUCAGAUCUGAAACCCUAGUAUUGAGAGAUUGUCCCUUUGGAGCUGGUCUAGGAAGCUUAACUGGCUCUGUAGAUAAAGGGGCAGAAGAAAAGUACCUACCAGAAAAGAAGAUAUUGGUUAGUGCAACCAAGCAACUUAAGACUUAUCUGGUGGGUGAGAGUCUUCUUCCUACCUGUGCUCCAACGCCUGGUGGACUGAAAUCCUAGCGUUUGGAUCAUAAGUAAACAUCUUUGAUAACAAAUCCAGUGCAUCCUCACUAGCCAUUGGAAAUAACUUUCGCAAAGGAUGCUGAGGAACUGUUUGGUACUCCACGUAAUCAGGAAGGUAUACCAAAAAAUAAAUUCCAUCCAAAAAGUCCGUUAGUUUGCCAUGUUAGAUAGCCAAGUCACUACUACAUAUACAUGUGGCAGCGGCCACGUCAUGGUGAGCUCGGUUGGUGAAUAAUAUGAAAGUCAAUCUGAAUAAUGAAUUCUCUCCUAACAAUUAGACUUACGUUAUUGAGAUAUCAUGGUACAUGACAUGGUAAUCAAAGUCCUUAAAGACUAAAAAGGCUUUAUUUUCGAGUCCCGAUAACCCAUAAUCCUUGCAUAUAACAAUGGACACGUGUUAUUUCCGUGCUAUCCACGUAAUUGCAUAGGGGUAAUUAAUUUUUCUUUUUUUAGACCACCUUUUAUUGAUAACAUAUCAAUAACUCACAAAUAAAACACAAAUACAUGUAUGUCGCGAUAACAAUAAAGGCAGCCAGCACCGAAUUCAAACCGCUUUGAUGAGGUAUUGUUUGCAUCAGAAACAGUGAAGUUGCAGCCAGCUCAGAACCCAGAACAAAACACAACAGCAAGAAAGCAUCAAUCUAACCAAAAAUCCCUUUUGUUGUCUCCACUGCUUUUGGCUUUACUUAGCUUGGUCGAACCUCCUAAUUAUGGUUUGUCACUUCACAUGGCUGCAUCCUGUUCUUAUCCAGCUUAGUACGUUGUAGUAAUGCCC
rnacentral:lncRNA from 1 species